rnacentral:pre_miRNA from 1 species
AUUGUACUCCCUCCGUUCUGAAUUACUUGUCUUUGAUUUGUCUAGAUAUGGAUGUAUCUAGACUCAUUUUAGUGCUAGAUACCUUCGUAUCUAGACAAAUCUAGAUAUGGAGUAAUUUGGAACGGAGGGUGUAGGUA